rnacentral:misc_RNA from 1 species
UAAACCAAUCAAGCGUUGCUUGGUAUUAGGGCACGUGGUAUAGCGGCUCUCAAAUUUAUUAGCAGCGUCAGUGGGCUCUAAGCGUAGUAAUAUUUCUCGCUAUAGAGUUCCUUCUAGGGGCUUGCUAAAACCCCCCAACUCCUCAC